AAAAAUGGCAGCGCGCAGGGAAAUCAAAUGGCGGAAAAUUUUGUAUGAGCAUCAAAAUGUUCCCGACAACUACGUCGAUGAGUCUUUUCUUGAAGAAAUGAAAAAGAAUUUGUAUAUAAGAAACUAUGAAUAUUGGUCAGUUGUAAAAGCAUCUGGUGAAAUAACACAACAGAUAAGUAGGUAAGUAGCUAUGAUAUAAUAAAGUUUGACUCCUAAAAAUCUAAAAUGCUUUAAAUAAGACCAACGUUGAAGAAUUAGAGAGAAAAUGUCAGUUAAAAAUUAACUGCUUUAUUACAAUUUUCUUUCAGUAUGUGUUUGUUUAUUGUAUCUUUUAUCUACAUGGAUGACAAAAGACUCUUACCAGAUACCCUAGUUCUAAUCACAAUUGCUGUCUCUGUGGUUGGAUAUAUUGUCAGUAAACUAGUAGAUAAGUUUACUACAGUAGAUUCUUCAGAUGAUAAGAAUCAGAGAACAGUUUUAGAGGACCUGAAAACAUUUGUGAUGUUCACAGGAUUUAGCUACUGUUUGUCUCCAGUGCUGGCAUCCCUAACAGAGACAAUAUCUACCGACACAAUCUAUGCAAUGACAACUGUGAUGCUUCUUGCCAACUUAGCAUUUCAUAAUUAUGGAGUACAGGCAGCAUUGGUAUCCGAAGCCUUCUCACUGAAUGCUGCAAUAUUCGCCUCUGUGUGUCUUGCCUCCCGUCUUCCCACUUCCUGGCAUGCCUUUGCUACAGUUUUAUUCUCACUACAAAUCUUUGGUCUUUGGCCCAGGUUAAGACACAAAAUCAAGGAGACAUUCCCUGCUGUAAAUGUAGCACUGACUGUGGUGUUGGGAUCCUUGACACUGCUAGCUUUGUUUACGGUUUCUAUGGUUCCUGCUGUGGUAUUUAUUCUUGGCCACGUCUUCAUUACAUUUAUCUGCCCAGCAUGGUUGAUUAGUCUACAACCUCUGAAAAAUAAUAUUCAUGGACCAUGGGAUGAGGCUGUGAUAAAAAAUGACUGACUACCAAUAUGGAGACUUUACUAGGCAUAGCCUGUACACAUAAACUCUGCUAUGGCCCUGAGAUCAGGAUGAGCCUUGCCUUGGACGGUGUUCCAGUGAUACAAGUGGUAUCGACCAAUCAAUCAGAAAGAUACCAAAUGCCGUGGUUUAUGGUAAACACAAGCAUCAAGUAAACCAGCUGCAUCCUUGAUAUUAUAGUCUGAUGGAUGUAUAGAGAUGGUAUUCUAUAUGUUUGUGAUGCUGUACAUAUUUAUGUUUAUUAUAUUGAGUAUAUACAAACAAAUAAUCACUUAUACAAACAAGAUUGUUUAUUAUUGAAUAAAAACCAAUCACUAUUUUUAAAAACUU
rnacentral:misc_RNA from 1 species